GCCGGUCACCAGGCGGCGCCACAUUUUUUGGAAAAAGGUGGAGGGGCACCCUUGGAGAAUGGCCUUAAAUUGUCUUAAAAAAUCUUUAAAUUUCUGAUACUUAUGCAUACAUAACCCUAGUAGCAUUGUCUUAAGCAAGUUACUUGACGAAGUGCUUCAGUAAGUUUCUCAUGAAGAUUUAAACAAGAAGAUGGAUUUCAUUUCAAGUAUACUUUCAUAGAUCAAGUCUUGCUUAAGAUUUUGCUUGAAGACUUACGAAAAUCUGUAGGAACUGCAGCAAUUCUUGAAUAAUAUAUGUAAUGUAUAACAAUGUUUAGCCAGAGCUGCUGCAGAAUUGCUUAAUAGGGGUUUUACAUCUCCAAGCUCGAACGCAGUUCCUUUAGCGAACCCAGUGAUCAUUCAAAUUUACAAUGCUAUAAGUUAACAAUGGUAUUACUUGAUAAAAUUACAUCAAACACUAAGUGAAUCGUUUAUUUGAGAAACCCCAUAAGUCAUGUUUUUUCGAAAUUGGGUUUUUUGCAUUUUUGGGUUCUUUGGAUGUCCCCAUAGAAAUUAAUAAAAAUAUCCAUCAAAUCAGUGUUUAAAAAACAAUCAACGGGGUGACAGAAAUUUUAUUUUAUUGAGAAACCCCAUAAGUCAAUGACUUAUGGAGUUUUUCAAAUAAACAUGCAGUUUUAGUUUUAUAGAAAUAAUUUUUUCUUUUUUAUUUAAAAUUCGCGCUUUUUUUGGAAAAAAAAUAAUAUGACUAAUUAAAAUACUUAAAUUAAUUAUUAAUUUUAUAAUUUCUGAGUUUCAGAGUUUAAGUGCAUAUUAUAUACUUCAUUUUAUCAGUCUAAUAAAUUAUUUGAGUGGAAAAAAUAAAAAAAAACAAUGAUUUUAUAACUUUUUCUUCCGUUUGGUUGAGAAACCCCAUAAGUCAAUCAACUUUAAAUAAUUUUUUUAAGUAGUUUCAAUUAAAAAAUUGAAUUUUUUUUGUUUGAAUAUUUUUUAGACGCUAACAUUAUUCUCUUCAAUUAUUUAUUUAUUAUUUCAAUGGCAAGUUUUGUCCAGAAAAAUUUUUCUUGUGUUUCCUGAAAAAUUUUGUUUUCUUGACUUAUGGGCUUUCUCAAAUAGAUCGAAGUGGGCGCCACUAAAUUUACUAUACUAAUGCUGACUAGAUGACUCACGAAGUAACAAAGAGAGCAGCUAUGUCCUGGUUUCUUAAGCAAUUUUGCAGCAAGUGAGCUAAUAGUUCGUAAGCAUGACUACAGAUUUACUUUACGUAUCUUAUGGAAGUAUUUUGCCUCAGAUUUAUUUAAGACUGAAUGCAGAUUUGCUGAAGACAAGAUACAGAUUUAUGUAAGACUUCCUUAAGAAAGCUACUAGGGUAGUAUAAAAAACUACUGUUAAAAUUUUUGUUAAAAUAUAUUUACAUAUCGUCGUAAAAACUAAAACAGUCAAAAGUACUGAUAUCGCUUCAGGAACUCGUGGAUGCUGUGAUUGAAGACACAACUCUCUGACAAGUUGAUGUUUCAAUAUCUGAUCCAUUCUCUUUGAGAACUGGCAACUUUUCAAGCACAAUCGGUAGAGAUAAUAAUGAUCCUAAA